rnacentral:misc_RNA from 1 species
UUGAAUUGAACUUAGAGUUGGUUGUAGCUGGCCUAGUUCAUUUGCAGCAUGUGCACAGCCUUCCUCUUUCAUCCCACACACACCCUGUGAACCUGUGAGACAGAUGGGAGUUACUUGCUGCUUUGAAUACAAGCAAUAGUUAUUGACCCCCGUCUGUCUACUCAAUUAUAUAAACUCAUUUAAUUUGAAACUGAAUGUAAUGAUGUAACAGCAUCUCAUAAC